rnacentral:rRNA from 1 species
UACAGAGGGUGCAAGCGUUGUUCGGAAUUAUUGGGCGUAAAGAGCUCGUAGGCGGUCUGUCGCGUCGGCUGUGAAAACUCGGGGCUCAACUCCGAGCUUGCAGUCGAUACGGGCAGGCUAGAGUUCGGCAGGGGAGACUGGAAUUCCUGGUGUAGCGGUGAAAUGCGUAGAUAUCAGGAGGAACACCGGUGGUGUAAACGGCUUUCUGGACCAUAACUGACGCUGAGGCACGAAAGCGUGGGUAGCAAACAGG